CCUACGGGUGGCAGCAGUGGGGAAUAUUGGACAAUGGGGGAACCCUGAUCCAGCCAUGCCGCGUGUGUGAAGAAGGCCCUCGGGUUGUAAAGCACUUUCAGUGAGGAAGAACGCCUGGUGGUUAAUACCCAUCAGGAAAGACAUCACUCACAGAAGAAGCACCGGCUAACUCCGUGCCAGCAGCCGCGGUAAUACGGAGGGUGCGAGCGUUAAUCGGAAUUACUGGGCGUAAAGCGCGCGUAGGUGGCUUGAUAAGCCGGUUGUGAAAGCCCCGGGCUCAACCUGGGAACGGCAUCCGGAACUGUCAAGCUAGAGUGCAGGAGAGGAAGGUAGAAUUCCCGGUGUAGCGGUGAAAUGCGUAGAGAUCGGGAGGAAUACCAGUGGCGAAGGCGGCCUUCUGGACUGACACUGACACUGAGGUGCGAAAGCGUGGGUAGCAAACAGGAUUAGAUACCCCUGUAGUC
rnacentral:rRNA from 1 species